rnacentral:misc_RNA from 1 species
AACGGUCUAUACCUGCGGUACCUGCGGAGGGAUCAUUACCGAGUUAUCAGCUCCCAAACCCCUGUGAACAUACCCGAACGUUGCCUCGGCGGGACCGCCCCGGCGCCCCUAGCGGCCCGGAACCAGGCGCCCGCCGGAGGACCCAAACUCUUGCUUUAAACAGUGGCAUACUCUCUGAGUCUCACAAACAAAAAAUAAAUCAAAACUUUCAACAAUGGAUCUCUAGAUCGGAAGAGCACA